AUGCGAUAAGUAAUGUGAAUUGCAGAAUUCCGUGAAUCAUCGAGUCUUUGAACGCACAUUGCGCUCCCUGGUAUUCCGGGGAGCAUGCCUGUCCGAGCGUCAUUUUCAACCCUCAAGCUUGGCUUGUGUGAUGGGCCAUCGUCCCCACGACCUUCCGGGACGGGACGGGCCCGAAAUGCAGUGGUGGUGUCUAGGUAAACGACCCGAGCGUAUGGGGCUCUGUCACAGUGCUCGCGGUGUACCUUUUGACGUCUACCCGACCGCCUCGGUAGUGGUGGUUAACCUUUUAUUCUAAGGUUGACCUCGGAUCAGGUAGGGAUACCCGCUGAACUUAA
rnacentral:misc_RNA from 1 species